UGCCUACGGGGGGCAGCAGUGGGGAAUUUUGCGCAAUGGGGGAAACCCUGACGCAGCAACGCCGCGUGCGGGAAGAAGGCCCUCGGGUCGUAAACCGAUUGCAGCAGGGAAGACCACGACGGUACCUGCAGAAGAAGCUCCGGCUAACUACGUGCCAGCAGCCGCGGUAAUACGUAGGGGGCGAGCGUUAUCCGGAUUCAUUGGGCGUAAAGCGCGCGUAGGCGGUGGCGUAAGCGGAACCUCUAACCACGGGGCUCAACCUCGGGCCGGGUUCCGGACUGG
rnacentral:rRNA from 1 species